GAGUUUGAUCAUGGCUCAGAUUGAACGCUGGCGGCAUGCCUUACACAUGCAAGUCGAACGCGAAAGUGGGGGCAACCCUGCGAGUAGAGUGGCGAACGGGUGAGUAACACAUCGGAACGUACCCAGGAGUGGGGGACAACCUCGAGAAAUCGAGGCUAAUACCGCAUACGUCCUGAGGGAGAAAGCGGGGGAUUCGCAAGGACCUCGCGCUCAUGGAGCGGCCGAUGUCGGAUUAGCUAGUUGGCGGGGUAAAAGCCCACCAAGGCUACGAUCCGUAGCUGGUUUGAGAGAACGACCAGCCACACUGGGACUGAGACACGGCCCAGACUCCUACGGGAGGCAGCAGUGGGGAAUUUUGGACAAUGGGGGCAACCCUGAUCCAGCCAUGCCGCGUGAGUGAAGAAGGCCUUCGGGUUGUAAAGCUCUUUCGGCCGGAACGAAAUCGCGUACGCGAAUAACGUGCGUGGAUGACGGUACUGGAAGAAGAAGCACCGGCUAACUACGUGCCAGCAGCCGCGGUAAUACGUAGGGUGCGAGCGUUAAUCGGAAUUACUGGGCGUAAAGCGUGCGCAGGCGGUUCUGCAAGUCAGAUGUGAAAUCCCCGGGCUUAACCUGGGAACUGCGUUUGAAACUACGGAGCUAGAGUGCGGCAGAGGGGGGUGGAAUUCCACGUGUAGCAGUGAAAUGCGUAGAUAUGUGGAGGAACACCGAUGGCGAAG
rnacentral:rRNA from 1 species